rnacentral:lncRNA from 1 species
CGGGCGUGCUGAGCCCUCGCCCCUCCCUCGGGCAGUCACCUGGGCACCCGCGCUACAGGUGCCGGGGCCUCGAUCUUGCGGAGCCGGCGGCCAUCGAUCUUCGGAGCUUACUCACAUGGCAUUUUGGUAUAGCAAAAUGAAAUGCAAGGAACCAAAAAUAACAUAAUUGAAGGCAGUAAACCUGAAGUUAAAUAGAAAGAUCAUCAGUCCAGGAAGACCUACUGGAGAGUAAGUAUGCAAAUUCUUAAGAAUUAAUUGGGUUACAAAGAGAAAAACAGAGACUGGGUCAGUGAAAAGGAAUCAUGGUUUGUUUCCCUGAGGCCCUGCUAAUACCUCCAAACUGGGCCAGAUUGUAAAGCAAGAUACUUUGAAAAGGACUUUCACAUUAACUUUUCAGGUUGCAUGAGAGUUGAUUCACAAGUAGUUUUAAAAAUCAUGCAGGAAAAGGACCAGAUCUUAGAAAUCUGAGCCCCUAUAUUUACUGUGAACAAUUUUCAAGGGAAAAUUCGGGUAGCUUAUCAACAGAUUUCUGUGUUGUCCAGGGAGUUGUUUUAAAAAACAAAAUAUUGGAAUUUUGAACACUUAUGGUGGUUUAUGGGGUAAUUAGGGUAGAGUAUAUAAAACUGGUUUCA